CAUAGGUUAAUGAGGCGAACCGGGGGAACUGAAACAUCUAAGUACCCCGAGGAAAAGAAAUCAACCGAGAUUCCCCCAGUAGCGGCGAGCGAACGGGGAGGAGCCCAGAGCCUGAAUCAGUGUGUGUGUUAGUGGAAGCGUCUGGAAAGGCGCGCGAUACAGGGUGACAGCCCCGUACACAAAAAUGCACAUGCUGUGAGCUCGAUGAGUAGGGCGGGACACGUGGUAUCCUGUCUGAAUAUGGGGGGACCAUCCUCCAAGGCUAAAUACUCCUGACUGACCGAUAGUGAACCAGUACCGUGAGGGAAAGGCGAAAAGAACCCCGGCGAGGGGAGUGAAAAAGAACCUGAAACCGUGUACGUACAAGCAGUGGGAGCCUCUUAAUGGGGUGACUGCGUACCUUUUGUAUAAUGGGUCAGCGACUUAUAUUCUGUAGCAAGGUUAACCGAAUAGGGGAGCCGAAGGGAAACCGAGUCUUAACUGGGCGUUAAGUUGCAGGGUAUAGACCCGAAACCCGGUGAUCUAGCCAUGGGCAGGUUGAAGGUUGGGUAACACUAACUGGAGGACCGAACCGACUAAUGUUGAAAAAUUAGCGGAUGACUUGUGGCUGGGGGUGAAAGGCCAAUCAAACCGGGAGAUAGCUGGUUCUCCCCGAAAGCUAUUUAGGUAGCGCCUCGUGAAUUCAUCUCCGGGGGUAGAGCACUGUUUCGGCAAGGGGGUCAUCCCGACUUACCAACCCGAUGCAAACUGCGAAUACCGGAGAAUGUUAUCACGGGAGACACACGGCGGGUGCUAACGUCCGUCGUGAAGAGGGAAACAACCCAGACCGCCAGCUAAGGUCCCAAAGUCAUGGUUAAGUGGGAAACGAUGUGGGAAGGCCCAGACAGCCAGGAUGUUGGCUUAGAAGCAGCCAUCAUUUAAAGAAAGCGUAAUAGCUCACUGGUCGAGUCGGCCUGCGCGGAAGAUGUAACGGGGCUAAA
rnacentral:rRNA from 1 species